CAAGAGCGUAUGUAAAAGUUGUUGCAGUUAAAAAGCUCGUAGUUGGAUUUCUGGUGGGAGCGAUCGGUCUGGCGCUUAGCGCGAGUACUUGCAUCGUCUCCGGCCAUCCUUGGGGAGAGUCUGUCUGGCAUUAAGUUGUCGGGCAGAGGAUCCUCAUCGUUUACUGUGAAAAAAUUAGAGUGUUCAAAGCAGGCUUAUGCCGUUGAAUAUAUUAGCAUGGAAUAAUAAGAUAGGACUUUGGUACUAUUUUGUUGGUUUGCGCACCAAAGUAAUGAUUAAUAGGGACAGUUGGGGGUAUUCGUAUUCCGUUGUCAGAGGUGAAAUUCUUGGAUUUACGGAAGACGAACUACUGCGAAAGCAUUUACCAAGGAUGUUUUCAUUAA
rnacentral:rRNA from 1 species